UCUCAUAAUUGUAAUAUCAUAAUAAAUCAGAGUUAAAAAAAACACUUUUAAAUUUGAUUUUAGGUUUUAUGAAGUGUUUGUUUCUACUUACUUAGUUAUUUUAAGUUUAGGGUUCAGGUGACUUAAGUCUUCCAACAGAUAAUGUAUAGAAGACUUCAUUCUAGGCGAAUCAAAAAUAUUUAACCUUAUUAGAAUUUUUGUCUCCUUAUAUAAAGAAAAUUUACACAUUCUCUCUGUUCUUCUCAAAGGGCUGCAACAAAAAUGUAAUGUUUUUCAUUCUAAAACUAUCCAAAUUCUCUCUAAUCUCUUUGAACUAAUAAACACAUCAAGCUUUAUAUUAAUUUCUCAUUUUUAUCUCAUGCCUUUCUCAUUGAUUUAUUUUGUUUUUGCAGGUUUUUCAUUUUAUGGUUCUCAUCUUACACUCUUUUAAAGGUAGAUUUAUAAAUCAUAUUUUUUUUUCAUUUGGUACCCUCUUGUUGCUUAAAUCUCUUAUAUUUCGAAAAAUUCUUUUGUUAUUUUAAGCUCUUACUUUAUUUUGAAGUUUUUCUAUGUUUUGAAGUCAUUUGAAUGCUUUUGGAUAUGUAGUUUUUUAGAUCUGAGAAAGACAUGGAAGACUUCCAAGAUUUAAUGGGCUAAGUCUUCUCGGAGAUCUUUUCAGAAGUCUUUUAAAAUUUAAUGGCCUAAGUUUUCUGGUGGAGUAUUUCUCCAUGUCUCCACUUUCAUAACAGAUUUGAGCAUCUUGGUAAGUCUUUGUGUAUGAUUUUCUUCAUUUGAUAACUUUUUGUUGCUUAAAACUUUUACUUUUAGAAAACUCUUUUGUUGUUUAAUGCUCUUACCUUAUUUUCAAGUUUUUCUAUGUUUUGAAGCCAUUUGAAUGCUUUUGAAUAUGCAUGUUUUCCAGGAAAACAGAUCUGGGCGUUUUAUUAAGUCUCCAUUUAUGAUUUUUUCUUAAUUUGAUCUGGAGCUAUCAAAGUGGAGGAGCUGUCCAAUCUUCUGGUAAACAGAUCUGAGUGUGUUGAAACAGAUGAAAGUUUUAAAUUUGAGGUAGACUUCCUGGAAGUCUUCCACGAAAUCUUCUAGGAAAUCUUCGUGGAAGGCUUUCUAUAAGUCUUCCACGGAGUCUUCAAAAACCUGAAACCUGAACACGAGGACUAUCAAAGUUUAUGAUGUGUAUGUCAAGUGGAGUCAAAACUUAUCUAUGUGGAGGAAUGAUUUCUAAAUUCAAGUGUAAUAGUUUUGUUUAUGAAUUGUGUUGUAAUUUGUAAGUGUGCUCUUUUAGUUGUGGAUUAUUUUACAAAUUUGAAGAGGUUUUAAUGAAAAGUUGGUAAAUAUGUUCAUGUGUACAAUAUUAUCCUGACGUUAUUGAAGUUAUAUACAAUUUCAAUAGCAAAACACAUAACACAAAAAAUUAGUCAAAUUUACUAAAGUAAGGGAGAAGACAUCUCAAAAACAUAGUUUUUAAUUCAUAAAAGAUCAAAAAUUACAUAAGAUAAGAACAUAUAACACUUUCACUCGAAGUCUUCUGGUAAAUCUUCGGAAGACUUAAAUUUUAAGCGAAAAUUUAAAUUUAAACGGAUAGCUCAAAUUGUAAAUGAAAAUUGAACAAUUAAAUUUCAUGAAAGUUAAAAAGUAUAUCUUAUGAUUUAAGAAGACACAUUAAACCAUAUGACUUAAUAUUCUUGAAGUUACUUAACACGUUUGAAAGUUAAAAAAUAUAUCUUUAAGUUACUUAACAAAUUUACAAAAACUAACGUAGAAGACUUGCACGUAAGUCUUCUGGAAUAAACCAGAAAUAUUAAUUAUCAUGAAUGUUGGUAACCUCAUAAUUAUAACCAAUUAAGUUAUUAAUUUCAUUCAGGAGCCCCAUUAUUGACUAAUAUACAUGAAUUAACAAGAAAAUAUUAAAAAGUCAUUAUAAUUUUAGAGAAAAUGAAAUUUUAUUAAACAUUGACGUAGAAAACUUUCACAAAAGUCGUUCAAAAGAUACGAAGUCUUUCAUUUAGGUCGUUUUGCAAUUAAAAAUUUACAAAGGAAGACUUCCAGAAAAGUCUACUCUACAUCAGACUUUUUGGGAAGUUUUCUUUUGUAAAUAUUGUUUUACUUUUGUUUUUGAAAAAAUCUUAAAAAUACCAGAGAUGUCUUCUAAGAUAAAUAUGUUAGUUGGUCAAAUUUCUGACGCAAUAUUUAUCCUAGAAGACUUACGGGUUAAUUGCAAAACUAACAUAUUUAUCCUAGAAGACUUCCAGAGAAGUCGUCUCCAAAAAAUAGACAUAAAAUUGAUUGCAAAACUAACACCUACAUUGACCAGAAGACUUCCGUAUAAGUUUUCUAAUUGUAGAAUACUUACACGAAAGUCUUCUAGCAAAUAUAUCUGGAAAAAAAUAUUCAAAAAUCAUUGUUAGAUCCAAUGAGGUUCAUGUUUAGCUUCUCUAAGCACAUAUCAUUUCUUAAUGAAAGUUACUUACUCGUUCUUGACUAAGAAUCAUGAACUUGAGUAACUCUAGUAAGCUUAUAAAUUUUGAAAUAAAAAGUUGGGAUUUUGAGAUGAAAUAAAAGAGGAAGUGAAAGGGAAAUUGUUUGUAUGUGUAAGAAAUAAGAAUAUGAAAAUGUAGAUGUUGAUUUUAGGUGCAUUUAGAGCUUGAAAUUGUUUGUUCAUGGUGGUUGAUAUAUUGAUAACAGUGGCAAUGUUGUAAAUAAAAGAGGAAGACGAGGAUGAUUGAGUAAAACAACAAUUUUUUAAAAAAUAAAUUCAAAAAUAAUGGUAUUUUCGUGAAUAAUUCAAACUUUUGGGGGUUAAUAGGGCUAAUGAGAAUUCAAAAAAAAAAAUCAUGGAUUAGUUUUGUGUUUGACUUUGAGUCAUUUUUGCCAAAAGCCCAAUAUAACACUUAUAAAUAUGAAUAUAUAAUAAAUAAAAUAUAACUUUUCACUAUUUUCUUCAAAAUAAAGUUUAUAUUUUAAUUUAUAUUACAAAAUAGUUAGUUAAUAUAUCAUUAGUUUAAUAAUUAUUUAUUAAGUAACUAUCAAGAAAUUUAUAAUUAUUUAUGAUAACGUUUACGAUAAUUAUGUCACGUUUAGUGCCUAUUCAUAUAGUUCUAAUUGGAUUGUGUUUCAUAGUUUUAUUGGCAAAUUUUUUAUUUUGUGUGUAAAAUAUUACUCCCUCCGUAUCACUUUAAAUGGUGUUUUAAAAGAAAAAAAUUAUUUCAUUUUAAGUGAUGUUUUUAAGUUCCCAUGUAAAAAGUAAAUGCAAUUUAUGUUUUUAACUAUUUUUAUUUUGCAGUAUGAUUUUUUUAUUGAUUGAAUUAUUUAUAUUUAUUGUUAUUUUUAUACAAAUAAAAAAGAUUGAAUAAAUUUUUGUAAUUUCUUAAUCGGUGUGCAAAAAUCUUAAAACUCACUUACUGUGAUACAUAAAGAGUAUUAUAUAUUUUUAAUUUUCAGAAGAAUAAAAUUAAUGAUAAAUGGAUUAUUCAUGAUUCCAUUGAUGUAGCAACAUUUUGGAUCAUAACAGUUUUCGGUAAAUCUUAUUUUGCAUUAAAUGGAGAAAGAAUCUUGUAACACAUUUAUAGACAUAAAGAAUCAUGAAGAAUUUAUCAACCGAUAACUUUUUCUUAUAACUAGAUACUCAAUUAAAAGAUCUUUAUAACUCGAUAUUCAAUUAAUGAUAUAUUAAAAAAAUAUUUAUAAUAUAAAUGAAAAUUAUAGAAAAUUUUCUAUUGCGAAAUUAAAAGCGUUUAUAUUUUUUGUUUGAAUUAUUUCUUAUUUAUAAUUUUAUUUUGUUAAUGUUGAGUUAUUCAAAAUAUAUUUUUCAAUAUUUAUAAUCUAAUGUUUUGGAAAAGUGUUGAUUUAUAUUUGUGCCAAAAAAACAUCAAUUUUAAAAGUCAUAAUAGACUGUUGUUCAACUAUAAGUGCUAAUUAACGUUACGACUAAACUAUUUUAUGGUCAACGAAAAUUUAUGAUUAAAUUAGUUUGUCAAUAAAAUUUGAAAAAAAAUUUUUGUUUACGAUAAAUUGAUGAAUUAUUUCAACAAACUUUGAAAUUUUUGAAAGUCGAUAAUUUAAAUGAUAUUUUUCUUUUUUCGAUUUAGUUGGGUAAUAUGAACUGAAGCAACUGUGCAAAAGGCGAAACAUUACUUUUCUUAUUUAAGAGUUGAUUUUUAGGUUCUUUAUUUCAAACUCAAAAAACGGUUUCUUAUAUUUCGAUAAAAAUUUCACACUAACAAUCCUUCAUUAAUCAUGCUCGUGGCGACAACCAUUCGUGAACAAUCCGUGAGUGAUCCAAUUCACGACCUUUUCGUACUAGAUUAUUAUCAUUCAGAUAAAAUAUGUUUACCAAGUGGAUUCCUACACGUGGUGACCCACAACGGAACCACGUUAAAGCUGCAGAAACUUGUUUGGUAUUUGAUGACCCUACACGUAAAAGCUUGUAUGUCCUAAAUGAUAUGUUACUCCGUUCGUUUCAGUGAUGGGCCUGUGACUUUUUCAGCUCAAUAAUAAUUAAUUAUGAUGUUUUGUGAGCCUAUUAUUAAAAUGGGCUAAAAUUUGUUAGAAAUGUUUUUGAAUAACAGAUCCAGUAAAGAAAUUUAAUUGAGCUGUCAAAUUCAUUUGUAGCCUUUGAUUGUUCGUCUGACUUAUGCAGGACAUGUCCUGUAAGCUAAGGUUUUCAGUCCUGUACAUUUGAACUCUGUAACCGUGAAUGAUAAGAGAACGUUUCAUAAAUACAUUUUGUCAUCUCCUUCAUACAAAGUUCUACUUUUCCAUUUUGGUAACCUGGCUCUAAUAGGUUAACUAGAGAUUUGAUGUCAUGUGCUAUGAAACGGAAACCAAUUCUCGAAUAAUAAAUGGUUUAUGAUUACAAAAUUAACCUCAAAAAUGUGGGAAGAUUUAACCAUUUGUAACUUAUGUUGGAUAUGAUGAUUGUGCGAAUGAUUUUCACCUGAAAAGUGAUGAAUUUUUGAGGGCACUUGUUUUGUAAAAUUUUCAAACAAUCUUGUUUUGUUUUAGUUUCUGUUGUGAGGACAAACCUUAUUUAGAUUCAUUGAUGUUAAGCUUCUGAUUUAUGAAACAGAGAGUUUCACUUGUUUUGAUGUUAAACACAUUAGAUCUCUUAGAACAGUUAUCAUAUUAUUUAUUUUUAUUAUUAUCAUCUUCCAUAAACAUAAAUAAACACCCCACACUUUAAACACCAUUGACCAACAAUUAACCGCCAGACAUCUUAAUUAUAUCAACAAUAAUAUCAGUCUUUAACUUAUUGACGUAAACA